CCGCGCUCCCGCCCCCGGGUUCCACUCCAAACACUGACAGAAAGAAUAGAACCCCCAGUUUCAUUAUUCACCCACUCUUCGAGCCGAGUGUCUCGUGUCCUUAGCGUGGUUUGGUUGUUUCGAUGGAAGUUCGGUGCAGCAGCCGCGGGAUGGGAGUGGGAGCUGCCCAGCAGAGCCAGAUGGGAAGCCCUCAGGAAGAGGCUGCAAACCUUUUAGAGGGUUUUUACCUAUUUAAAUAGGUAAAUCCCGCGAUAUCCAUGAAAGCCAUGACCCAUCUCCCAGAAGGGAGGAGCAGGGGCAGCAGUGCCGGGACAGGGGAUGAGUUCCCAGCCCUGCCCCGGCUCCACCAGGGGAAGCAAACCCCAAUUCCCACAUCCUGUGGGGCCGGGAUUAAUGGGAUUAUCUCUCAUCUAUCUCCUAAAGGGAAGCAGGACCUUAACACACACUCCCGGUAUGGCCAGAGGUCUUUAAGAAGGUCCAGCACUUUGAGGAAAAUUGCCUGCAGGCAUUCCUUGGCUUUUGUAAAUUCAGUGUUUAAGGCCAGGAGGGAGCCUGGCCAUUAUCUGGUCACACCUCCCUUGUAAAAGCCAUAAAAGACAAAAUAAACCGCCUUGAGCAUUUAAUUUGCAGAAGCUCCUGGUGGCUGAAAAGCCUUCAGUGGAUGGAGAGCUGCCACAUCCUUGGCUCAGCUGUUCCCACAACUGACGGGACAAAGUGUCCCAAGUGGCUGCUUUGCUCCAGGUUAAAGUGAUAGAGGUGAAAAACAGGGAUGGGAGGGGAAGGAAAAGGAGGAUUUCAGCCCAGACAACCCCACCAAGCUCCAAGUUCACACCUCCACACACCCCGUGUUUCCCUAAAGGCGCCCGAGCUCCCCAGAACCUCCCCGGUGUUCCCAGGGAAGCGAGGACGAUCCAUGGCUUCUGUUGUCCUUCAUUCCACCGGAGUCUGUCUCGUAGCAAACCAGAUUUCAGUGGAGUGAAGCUCAAGAGACAUGGAGGAGCUGCUGCCACUGCCCAGCUGGGAAAGCACACGGAAAUUGGGAUCCACCGGGCUCAGACCUGCUGGGAGAGGGAGAGGAGCAGCACAAGGAGAUCUUUAAUAACACGAAUAUUUCCUGAAAAUCCCCAGUAAGAACCCUCUGUGAGCAUGUACUUCCUUUCUGCAUAAUGUGUAAAGAUUAAAAGCCUACAAAGACCACAAGCUGCUUUCUGGAAGGUUUAAAUACCUUAUUAGCAGGAAAUUAAACCCUAAAGUGGAUAAAUGA